AUUGAACGCUGGCGGCAGGCCUAACACAUGCAAGUCGAACGAGUGGCGGACGGGUGAGUAAUGUCUGGGAAACUGCCCGAUGGAGGGGGAUAACUACUGGAAACGGUAGCUAAUACCGCAUACCAUCGGAUGUGCCCAGAUGGGAUUAGCUAGUAGGUGGGGUAACGGCUCACCUAGGCGACGAUCCCUAGAUGGUCUGAGAGGAUGACCAGCCACACUGGAACGGAGACACGGUCCAGACUCCUACGGGAGGCAGCAGUGGGGAAUAUUGCACAAUGGGCGCAAGCCUGAUGCAGCCAUGCCGCGUGUAUGAAGAAGGCCUUCGGGUUGUAAAGUACUUUCAGCGAGGAGGCGUUACCCGCAGAAGAAGCACCGGCUAACUCCGUGCCAGCCGCCGCGGUAAUUC
rnacentral:rRNA from 1 species